rnacentral:rRNA from 1 species
CCCUUAGAUGUCCUGGGCCGCACGCGCGUUACACUGAUGCAUUCAACGAGCUUAUAACCUUGGCCGAGAGGCCUGGGCAAUCUUGUUAACGUGCAUCGUGAUAGGGAUAGAUUAGUGAAAUUAUUAAUCUUGAACGAGGAAUUCCUAGUAAACGCAGAUCAUCAAUCUGCAUUGAUUACGUCCCUGCCCUUUGUACACACCGCCCGUCGCACCUACCGAUUGGAUGGUCCGGUGAAGCCUCGGGAUUGUGGUUCUUGCCGCUUUAUUGUGGCGUGACCGCGAGAACUUGUCUAAACCUUAUCAUCUAGAGGAAGGUGAAGUCGUAACA